GAUGAACGCUGGCGGCGUGCCUAAUACAUGCAAGUCGAGCGAACGGACGAGAAGCUUGCUUCUCUGAUGUUAGCGGCGGACGGGUGAGUAACACGUGGAUAACCUACCUAUAAGACUGGGAUAACUUCGGGAAACCGGAGCUAAUACCGGAUGAUAUUUUGAACCGCAUGGUUCAAAAGUGGAAGACGGUCUUGCUGUCACUUAUAGAUGGAUCCGCGCUGCAUUAGCUAGUUGGUAAGGUAACGGCUUACCAAGGCAACGAUGCAUAGCCGACCUGAGAGGGUGAUCGGCCACACUGGAACUGAGACACGGUCCAGACUCCGACGGGAGGCAGCAGUAGGGAAUCUUCCGCAAUGGGCGAAAGCCUAACGGAGCAACGCCGCGGGAGUGAUGAAGGUCUUCGGAUCGUAAAACUCUGUUAUUAGGGAAGAACAUAUGUGUAAGUAACUGUGCACAUCUUGACGGUACCUAAUCAGAAAGCCACGGCUAACUACGUG
rnacentral:rRNA from 1 species